rnacentral:rRNA from 1 species
CAGCAGCCGCGGUAAUAUGUAGGGUGCGAGCGUUAAUCGGAAUUACUGGGCGUAAAGCGUGCGCAGGCGGUUGUGUAAGACAGGUGUGAAAUCCCCGGGCUUAACCUGGGAACUGCGCUUGUAACUGCACAGCUAGAGUAUGGCAGAGGGGGGUGGAAUUCCACGUGUAGCAGUGAAAUGCGUAGAGAUGUGGAGGAACACCGAUGGCGAAGGCAGCCCCCUGGGCCAAUACUGACGCUCAUGCACGAAAGCGUGGGGAGCAAACAGGAUUAGAUACCCGCGUAGUCCCUGUCUCUUAUAC